rnacentral:rRNA from 1 species
UAUCUCUGUAGAGUCUGCAUAUCAAUAAGCGGAGGAAAAGAAACUAACUAGGAUUCCCUCAGUAACGGCGAGUGAAGCGGGAAGAGCUCAAAUUUGAAAUCUUCAAGGUUUUACCUUGACGAAUUGUAGUUUAAAGAAGUGUUUUCUGUUGGAGUUUUGAUAAAAGUUCUUUGGAAUAGGACAUCAUAGAGGGUGAGAAUCCCGUAUUUGACCAUUAUUUCCAGCUUUGUGAUACACUUUCAAAGAGUCGGAUUGUUUGGGAAUGCAGUCCAAAAUGGGUGGUAAAUUUCAUCUAAAGCUAAAUAUUGGCGAGAGACCGAUAGCGAACAAGUACCGUGAGGGAAAGAUGAAAAGAACUUUGAAAAGAGAGUUAAACAGUACGUGAAAUUGUCAAAAGGGAAGCGUUUGACACCAGUGUUGUUUUCUCGAAAAUCAAUUAAAAAGUGUUGGAUUUUGUAUUGUUAAGACCUUAUCAGCUUACUGCACUCUUUUCCUUGCUCUUUUUAAUGCACUUUUCGUUUAACAAGUCAACAUCAAUUUCUUUUGUUGUAAAAGAGUCAUUGGAAGGUGGCUUUCACUUUCGGUGAAAGUGUUUAUAGCCUUUGGCUUCUGCAAUCGGAGAGAUUGAGGUCUGCAGCGUAGAUCCUUCGGGGUUAGAUACAUUUGUGCUAAGUUAUAGCCUUUCAUAGACAACUUGUUGACUAUGAUCAGUCAUGUAGCUUACUCGCUGGAUGCUAUUUUACCUACGCUUAGGAUGUUGAGUCAUCACACAUCUCU